rnacentral:lncRNA from 1 species
CUGAAGGAGUGUAGCGUUAACUGAAGACCCGGAUGGAUGGCAAAGAGUUUAAAUCAGGCCCAGAAAAGGCAAUUAUACUUUGUUUGGUGAUUUACUGUAGAAGAGAAAGGAAUGGCAGGAGCCAGGCUUAGGGCAUUGAUGGGGGAGGCAUAAAAGGUAGGAGCAGAUGCUGGAAACAACGUGGUAUUAAAAUAGUGGAAACACUCAGUGAUUCAGUGGGCAUGAGAAGUAGAAACUGAGUUGGAAGCGUCGGGAAAUUUUUGUUCAAUAUGGAAAGCAAUAAGGUGACUUUCUCUGAGGCUCUUGAAGAGCUAUAAGGAGAACAGAAUUAAUGAUAAUGGUAGUGACGGCUAACAUUUUCAAGCACGUACAUGCUGGGCAUUGUUGUAAGCUGAAGGUUCU